rnacentral:rRNA from 1 species
GACGAACGCUGGCGGCGUGCCUAAUACAUGCAAGUCGAACGCAGUGGGGACGGGUGAGUAACACGUGGGUAACCUCCCAUCAGAGGGGAUAACACUUGGAAACAGGUGCUAAACCGAUACUGAUGGAUGGACCCGCGGUGCAUUAGCUAGUUGGUGAGGUAACGGCUCACCCAGGCCACGAGGCAUAGCCGACCUGAGAGGAUGCUCAGUCACAUUGGAACUGAGACACGGUCGAAACUCCUACGGGAGGCAGCAGUAGGGAAUCUUCGGCAAUGGACGAAAGUCUGACCGAGAAACGCCGCGUGAGUGAAGAAGGUUUCCGGAUCGUAAAACUUUGUUGUUAGAGAAGCGGUAUCUAACCAGAAAGCCACGGCUAACUACGUGCCAGCAGCCGCGGUAAUUC